UACAGAGGUCUCAAGCGUUGUUCGGAUUCAUUGGGCGUAAAGGGUGCGUAGGUGGCGCGGUAAGUCGGGUGUGAAAUUUCGGAGCUUAACUCCGAAACUGCAUUCGAUACUGCCGUGCUUGAGGACUGGAGAGGAGACUGGAAUUUACGGUGUAGCAGUGAAAUGCGUAGAGAUCGUAAGGAAGACCAGUGGCGAAGGCGGGUCUCUGGACAGUUCCUGACGCUGAGGCACGAAGGCCAGGGGAGCAAACGGG
rnacentral:rRNA from 1 species